rnacentral:lncRNA from 13 species
UCCUGGUCAACAUGGUGAAACCCCGUCUCUACUAAAGAUAUAAAAAAUUAGCUGGGCGUGGUGGCACGUGCCUGUAAUCCCAGCUACUCGGGAGGCUGAGGCAGGAGAAUUGCCUGAACCCAGGAGGCGGAGGUUGCGGUGAGCUGAGAUCGCGCCAUUGCACUCCAGCCUGGGUAACAAGAGCGAAACUCCAUCUCAAAAAAAAAAGGUCUUUAGGUCACCCUCACCUUUUAAGCCAAUAUUAGGUAAAAUUUUUCUGCAGCCACAGACAUUAAGCAAGUUGGAUUUUUCUCCAUCCAGGUACCUGCCCCAUACCCUGAGCCACAAACAAAAGUGAAGGUCCUCCCCAUGGUCCCUGAGAGCCUCGGUCCAGGAGUGUCCCCUCUGUUCUGCCCUGAAGGAAGUGCAUGGGCUGUGUGCCCAGCGUCCUCAGUGAGCUGGCUGCUCCACUUUCCCUCCCCCUCCUUCAGCCAGGAGCUCCUAGGAACCCGCAUUCCAUGUUAGCCCUUGGCCCCUGUCAUACAUAGAUAUUUUUCUAUUAUAUCCUAAAACAACUGGGUUUCUUUUUUCUUUUUUUUUUUGGUUUUAAAGUUUUUAUUUUUUACAAGUAAACUGGAGAAUCAUGCAAUGCUGCCAGCAGCGGAUGCAAUCUUGGGCCACAGGUCUGUACACUCCUUUGCUACUGGUCCUGUAAUGGCAGAACCUUUCAUCUCACCUUUAUGGUUCACUAUGACCCCGGCAUUAUCUUCAAAAUAAAGAAACACGCCAUCUGUUCUCCGGUAUGACUUCCGCUGUGGAAUGACCACUGCUGGAUGUACUGUUUUUCUGAGCUCUGGUUUGCCCUUCUUGACUGUGGCCAUCACCAUGUCACCGACACCAGCAGCGGGAAGUCUGUUCAGCCGUCCCUUGAUCCCCUUCACAGAGAUGAUAUACAGGUUUUUGGCUCCUGUGUUGUCAGCACAGUUGAUCACAGCUCCUACUGGAAGACCGAAGGAAAUCCAGAAUUUCGCACCAGAGGACCCACCACCUCCUCACUUCGACAUCUUGAACGCCGGAAAGAAGGAAAAAGAAGUAGCUUCAAAGGAUACUGGGAUAUCAGCAACUGGGUUUCUUCACAGUUUCACCCUAAGCACUGCUGAACCUAAGCACCGCAGCUCCUAAAGCCCAUUAGCCAGCACUC